GCUAAGGUUUGAGGAGUGGCAGGAUAGAGGAAAAGGCUUUCUGUUGCCUAAAGUAUGGGUGAGGGUGACAGGUAUUGAAGAACCGCUGCGCGAAUUCCCAAUUCUGUGGGCAGUGGGAACCCUUUUAGGAUCGACGCAGUCUGUAGAUAUGGAGACUACAAGAAAAAGUGAUUUUGGUCGAGUUUUGGUAGCAAUGCUGGAUCCUAAGCUGAUCCCCAGAACACUUGACGUAGUGAUUGGCGAUCACUACUUUGAUUUGGUUUUCGAAGUAGAGAGGAAGGGUUUUGAUGAGAAUGGAGAUGACGUGGAGAUUGAUUGGGAUGGCGGAGAAGGGGAAGGAGAUGGGGAAGGAAAGGGAGAGGGGAAGGAACCAGAGGCAGACAGUGAGACAAAUCCAGCGGAUGGCCGAACAGAGGAAAGGGAGAACAAACGUCUCAAAGGAGGUGGGGAGAAAUUGAGGGAUGGGCCACGAUCUGGGCAGGGACCAGCUGAUCGUGGUCAAGGACUCAACGAGUUUCAAGAUGUUCUUCAUCGGAAGGCAGACUUGAUUCUUGACAAAGUAGUGGAAGAAGUGUUGGAAGAAGCAGCGUCUAAGGUGCUGAGAGAGGAAGAAGUGCCGGUGGAGGUGACUGAUGGAGAUGUAGUCGGGCUCCAUGAAAAGAAUAGUGGGGAAGUUGAGAUGGCUAUGGAGGUCACUCCGGUAGUGAUGCAGCGGGGGCUGACCUCAAUGCAUGGUACGGUGUUUAACAAGGGGCUGGGAGGAGAUUCAGAGCAGGGAGCUGAUCUUGGGGAGAGGGAAAGUAGCAGGCUGUCGACCAAGGAAGGGCUUGCUGAAUCAAAACUCACGGAUGCUGCGCUGAUCCCAGAGGUUUUGAGGUCACCAUCCAGGGCAAGUCCGAGACUUGCCGAGAUGGGGGCUGAGCACACCUUGUUGAAGGCGGAGCGCAGGAUGCUGUCCAGGAAUCUGGAAUCUUUGGAAGGUAAUCCAUCUACUGAUCUUUAUAGUAAUCCUCUUUUGGCACAAGCUGUAGAUAAUUUACGGGCUUUGGGUUUAGGAGAAAAUUUUAAUAGUGUUAGCUCUUUUGAGGCGAAUGUUCAAAGUCUAUUGGCUAGGGAUUUAGCAAGUGACAGACCUGUUACUGAGGGUGGAAUGGGGGAUGUUGAGUUUUCUGAUAUUGAAUCAGUUGACUCGAGAGGAAAGCAUUAGAGUACGUGUGUGAGGAUUUAAUGGAGGAAGUGUUUGACGAGGAUAGCUAUCACCUAAAUGGUGAUUCUAAAAUUGUCCAAAGGAAGCGGGGCGCUAAGUCGCCAAGGAAACGAGCUUCGAGAAAAUUGAAGGUUAAGAUAAACAAAGUAGUUGCAUCAUGAAAGGAAUUUUCUGGAAUAGCAGAGGUCUUCGUGACUUGGCUAAAUCUAAAUUCCUAAAUAAUACGUCUCGAGAGCAGAAGCUAGACUUCAUUGCUCUCCUAGAGACGGGUAAAAAGAAUUACUCUCAAGCAAAGUUGGAUAGGAUUUGUGGGGGGAAAAAUUUCGUUUGGCACUGGACUGAUCCUCAUGGUAGGUCAGGAGGUAUGUUGUUAGGGGUGAAUUUAGAUACCUGCGACGUAGGAAGCAUAGAGGCGGGUGAUUUCUUUAUCAAGUUCCAUCUCAGAAAUAGAUGUGAUGGUUUUCAUUGGUGUUUAGUGGCGGUAUAUGGAGCAGCUCAACCAGAAUUUAAAGAGAAGAAGUUCCUGACGGAGCUUGUUCAGGCCUGCAGGAAAGAAUCUCUGCCUUUGUUGAUAGGUGGGGAUUUUAACAUCAUUAGGAACCCCAGUGAGAAAAAUAAUGAUAAGUUUGAUAGUCGAUGGCCCUUUUUAUUCAAUGCCAUUAUAGAUGGUUUGGACCUAAGGGAGAUUGAGAUGUCUGGGAGAAAAUUUACUUGGGCCAACUCUAAGAGUGUACCAACUUAUGAGAGGCUGGAUAGGGUGCUUGUUAGUACAGAAUGGGAGCAAAAGUUCCCUUUAGUUACAGUGGAUGCUUUGAAUAGAGAAAUUUCAGAUCACACUCCUUUGCUGUUGAGCACGGGAGAUAGGGUACAGGUGGCUGGGCAGCAUGAGUUCAAAUUUGAACUCAGCUGGUUGCUGCUUGAGGGCUUCUUUGAGACAGUAGCUAAGACUUGGAAAAGUGUAAUCUGUGGGUAUUCUCCUAUGAAGAAUUGGCAGAAUAAGAUUAGAAGGCUAAGACAAUUUUUGAGAGGCUGGGCCAAAAAUGUGGAAGGGAAUGCUAGGAGAGAAAAGAAGAAAUUAUUUAGGCUAGCUGGAGAACUCGACUUAAAAGCUGAAACACAGCUCCUGAAUCAACAGGAAUUAGACCUGAAACAAAGUCUGAAUACAAGAAUUGCGCAGCUGCAUAGGGAAGAAGAGAUCAAAUGGUUCCAGAGGGCUAAGACCAAAAAUCUGCUAGAAGGAGAUAACAAUACAAAGUAUUUCCAUAUGGUGGCGAAUGGAAAGAGACGAAAAACUAGGAUAUUCCAGCUUGAACAAGAGGGGAAAGUGAUUGAGGGUUAGAAAAACUUAAAAGGCUUUAUAACAAAAUACUAUAAAGAGUUGUUUGGGUUAUCACAGAGAAAUGAGCUCUCGCUUGAUGAAUCACAAAUUGAAGAUAUCCCUCAGAUCAAUGAAGAUGAAAAUAAAAUGCUAAUAGACGAGUUUACUGAAAGAGAAGUGAGAGAGGCAAUCUUCCAAAUGAAACAUAACAAGGCGCCGGGGCCUGAUGGCUUUCCGGUGGAGUUCUAUCAAGUUUUCUGGUCUCUCAUCAAAGAUGACCUCAUGGCCAUGUUUCGGGAGUUCCAUUUGGAUAACUUGCCUCUCUUUAAUCUGAAUUUUGGAACAAUUUGCCUAAUCCCAAAACAAAAGGAAGUCAAGCAGGUCCAGCAAUAUAGACCUAUUUGCAUGCUGAAUGUGAGUUUCAAAAUAUUUACUAAGGUUUUGGCUAAUAGGUUAACUGCGGUUGCCGACAGAAUUGUCAGACAAUCACAAACGGCCUUCAUGCCAGGGAGGAACAUUUUGGAGGGUGCAAUAGUCUUACAUGAAACAAUUCACGAGUUGCACAAAAGGAAGAAAGCUGGGGUAAUCCUCAAACUGGAUUUCGAAAAGGCAUAUGACAAAGUUAGCUGGUCCUUUGUGCAACAAACGCUUAGGAUGAAAGGCUUCUCGCCGACUUGGUGCAAAUGGAUUGAGGAGGUUGUUAGUCGAGGAAGUGUGGGGAUUAAGGUAAAUGAGGAGACCGGCUGUAAUUUUCAGACUAGGAAAGGACUUAGACAGGGAGAUCCUCUCUCUCCUAUUCUUUUCAACUUGGUAGCUGAUAUGUUAGCCAUUCUUGUCUUGCGAGCAAAAAAUUCUGGGCAAUUUAGGGGGCUGGUUCCAAACCUGGUGGACGAGGGGCUCUCUAUCCUAUAGUACGCGGAUGAUACAGUCUUAUUUCUGGAGGACAAUCUAGAGGAGGCUAGGAACCUUAAACUCGUGCUGGGAGCUUUUGAGAAGCUUUCAGGUUUAAAAAUUAACUAUCACAAAAGCGAACUGUUUUGCUUUGGUGCUGCUAAGAACCGAGGGAAUGAGUAUAAAGAAAUUUUUGGGUGUGUACAGGGAAUUUUCCCCCUUAAAUACCUAGGAAUUCCAAUGCAUGUCCGGAGGCUUUCUAAUAGGCACUGGAAUGCAGUGGAAGAGCGUUUCCAGAAAAAAUUGAGUAGUUGGAAAGGGAAAUUUCUUUCCUCAGGAGGUAGACUAGUGCUGAUUAACUCAGUCCUCUCUAGCUUGCCAAUGUAUAUGAUGUCCUUUUUUGCAAUUCCUAAAGGAGUGCUAAAAAGAUUGGACUAUUAUCGGUCUAGAUUUUUUUGGCAGUGCGAGGAACACGGUAAAAAAUAUAGGUUGGCAAAUGGAGUAUUCUUUGCAAGCCAAGGUGUAUAGGAGGGAUGGGGAUUCUGAAUCUAGAGACACAGAAUAUUUGUCUUCUUAGCAAGUGGCUGUUCAAGCUCCUUAAUGAGGACGGCAUGUGGCAAAAUGUUCUCAGAAGAAAAUAUGUUAAGAACAAAUGUAUAACUCAAGUUGGGAGACGACCAGGGGAUUCACACUUCUGGUCAAGCUUAAUGGAGGUAAAGAAUACAAUGCUUAAGUUUGGAAGUUUCAAGGUGAAUAAUGGCCAUGAGGUUAGGUUCUGGGAAGAUGUGUGGGUGAGUCAACAACCAUUAAAACAACGGUUCCCUAGCCUGUAUAACUUGGCCAGGAAGAGAAAUGUGUCGGUAGCCAAUGUUCUCGACUCAACUCCACUGAAUAUUUCUUUUAGGCGGGCGAUUGUGGGCGAGCGGCUGGAAGAGUGGCUCAGGCUGGUGGCCGUAAUAGUACCAGUUUCUUUAAACAACAACAAAGAAAAGUUUGUUUGGUAUUUAAAGAAAGACGGCGUAUUCACAACUCAGUCGCUGUAUAAAGAAUUAAUGAGGGAGGACAGAAUAGGGGGAAGGAUUUUUUCUGGAAGACAAAAAUUCCUUUGAAAAUUAAAAUUUUCUUUUGGUAUCUAAAGAGAGGAGUGGUUCUAACAAAGGAUAAUUUAUUGAAAAAAAAGUGGAAGGGCGACCCUAGCUGCAUGUUUUGUGGUUCAGAGGAGACCAUCCAACAUCUGUUCUUCGAUUGUCGGGUAGCCCGGUUUGUGUGAAAUCUGAUCUUAAUUGUCUUUAACAUUCAACCACCUAGAAACACGACUCAUUUGUUUGGAUCUUGGAUAAGGGGAUUUACUCCAGGGCUAAGAUUUCAAUUAAUGGUGGGGAUAGCGGCCAUGUGUUGGGCUUUGUGGUUGAAUAGAAAUGAUAUGAUAUUCCAAAAGGCAACCGCUAACUCCUUUCUGCAGGUGAUUUUCAGGGGGGCAUAUUGGAUCAGACAAUGGUCCCAGUUAUCUAAAGAGGAAGAGAAAGGGGCUCUGAUGGAAGGAUGUCAGCGUCUGGAAGUAGGGGCAUUGCACCUCUUUAGUGGCCAUGCCUGGAAGAACCGGAGAAGGAUAAAAGAAUAGCUCUUUGCUGCUGUUUAUCUUUAGACUAGUUUAGAGGCUCUAAGCAGGAUCUCUGUUUUUAGUUGCCAUGUUUGUGGUCUGAACCUGUAGAGCAGUGGACUCAUUGUUGUUUUGUAUGCAUUGGUUGACACUUGCAAUGGUGGGUUGUAAUAGGGCUUCCUUUUGCCUCCGUGUAGCGGAACUCUGGUCUAAGUACCCUUUUGUAAGGUUGUGUCAUAAGCGUUCACUUGUGAGCGUGAAGGCAGGGAUGUUUAUUCCGUAAUCUUAAAAAAAACCUCAGCGGCAUGUCGCUCGCCGGCCGCCUCAGCCUGGACUCCCUCCUCGAGCUGCCGCCCCGGCUAAAGAGCCUCGAUCUCAGCAACAAUAGAUUCUACGGUAACCUCUCAGCAUCAGAUCACACCCUGUUUAGGCCAUGCGUGCUCGAGGACAUGGACUUGUCAUCAAACAGUUUGGACGGGACAUUGCCUAGCGCGUUCUUGGCGUCGUGCGGCGCACUGGAGUUCCUCAACAUCUCUAGGAACUCCCUCACCGCCGUUGGGUUCCCUUUCCCUCCAUCGCUGCGCACCUUCGACUUGUCCAACAAUCAGCUGUCAGAUGCCGGCUUGCUAAACUACACCUUCACCAGCUGCGGACACAGUGUUCAGUACCUUGAUCUCUCGGCUAACCAGUUCGCCGGAGGCAUCCCUGCAACUGCAAUUGCGCCGUGCAGCAAGCUAGCCGUCCUUGAUCUGUCGUCGAAUCUCUUGUCUGGUGCACUCCCUGCUGAUCUUGUGGCUGCAGCGCCAGCAACCAUGACACAUUUGAGCAUUGCUAGGAACAACUUGUCUGGGGACAUCUCGGCAUACGAAUUCGGUGUGUGCGCGAGCCUCGUGGGGGCUCAACUGGUCUUACAACGGGCUAACUGGCAAAGGAUUGCCGCCAAGUCUCGCGAAUUGCCGCCGCCUGGAGAUGCUCGACAUGUCAAGGAAUAAGCUCUCGUCCAGCCUCAUACCAGCUUUCUUGGGGAACUUUCCAUCACUCAGAGCAACUCCAGCCCAAAUCCCUAAAUUAAGCCUAUAAAUUUUUAUUUACAUGCUAUGAUAAAAAAAAAGUAGGGGCUCAAAUUAAAAUCCAACUCCAACCCACCUCCUAAACAAGUAGGAUAGGGGGUUCUAGAUGUGAGAGGCUGAAACUAUAAUUUAGGAGGGCAUGGAAAAUGGGAGCCCAUGUAGGAGGUGGGUUGGAGUUGAUUUUUUUUAGAUCAAGUCUCUAGAUUUAGAAUAGAGACUUGUUUAGGAGGUGGGUUGGAGUUGCCUCUUCAGGAGACUAAAUUUGGCAGGAAACAGGUUCUCUGGUGAGAUACCAGACAGCUUAAGCCUGUUGUGCGACACUUUGGUUGAGCUAGAUCUGUCGAGCAACCAGCUUAUCGGCAGCUUGCCAACAAACUUCACAGAGUGCGUGUCACUUAAGCUGCUCGACCUUGGUAGCAACCAGCUUUCUGGGGAUUUCGUGGCCACCAUCAUCAGCGGCGGCAUGCCGUCCCUCCGUGUCCUGAGGCUGCCAUUAUUCAACGACAUCAAAGGAG
rnacentral:lncRNA from 1 species